rnacentral:rRNA from 1 species
GACGAACGCUGGCGGCGCGCCUAACACAUGCAAGUCGAACGGAGUUGUUUGAAAGCUUGCUUUUGGAUAACUGAGUGGCGGACGGGUGAGUAACGCGUGAGUAACCUGCCUUAAAGAGGGGGAUAACGUCUGGAAACGGACGCUAAUACCGCAUGACAUACGGACAUGGCAUCAUGAUCGUAUCAAAGGAGCAAUCCGCUUUAAGAUGGACUCGCGUCCAAUUAGCUAGUUGGUGAGGUAACGGCCUACCAAGGCGACGAUGCAUAGCCGACCUGAGAGGGCGAACGGCCACAUUGGGACUGAGACACGGCCCAA